rnacentral:rRNA from 1 species
CCUACGGGUGGCAGCAGUGAGGAAUAUUGGUCAAUGGACGAGAGUCUGAACCAGCCAAGUAGCGUGAAGGAUGACUGCCCUAUGGGUUGUAAACUUCUUUUAUAUGGGAAUAAAAUGUUCCACGUGUGGGAUUUUGUAUGUACCAUAUGAAUAAGGAUUGGCUAACUCCGUGCCAGCAGCCGCGGUAAUACGGAGGAUCCGAGCGUUAUCCGGAUUUAUUGGGUUUAAAGGGAGCGUAGGUGGAUUGUUAAGUCAGUUGUGAAAGUUUGCGGCUCAACCGUAAAAUUGCAGUUGAAACUGGCAGUCUUGAGUACAGUAGAGGUGGGCGGGAUUCGUGGUGUAGCGGUGAAAUGCUUAGAUAUCACGAAGAACUCCGAUUGCGAAGGCAGUUCACUGGACUGCAACUGACACUGAGGCUCGAAAGUGUGGGUAUCAAACAGGAUUAGAUACCCGUGUAGUC